rnacentral:rRNA from 1 species
UACGUAGGGUGCGAGCGUUAAUCGGAAUUACUGGGCGUAAAGCGUGCGCAGGCGGUUAUUUAAGUCAGGUGUGAAAGCCCUGGGCUUAACCUAGGAAUUGCGCUUGAGACUGGAUAGCUUGGAGUGCGGCAGAGGGAGGUGGAAUUCCACGUGUAGCAGUGAAAUGCGUAGAGAGUGUGGAGGAACACCGAUGGCGAAGGCAGCC